rnacentral:RNase_P_RNA from 1 species
GCGGUUGGCGGGACGGCCGCGCGGGCGCGGCGUCGGUGGUGUAACAACCUCCGCCGCACGAGGUCCCGUGAGGAAAGUCCGAGCUGCCCAGGGCCACGGUGCUGGAUAACGUCCAGGCGGAGAAGCGUUUCGGCGAAAGCCGACACGCGAACCCGACGGAAAGUGCAACAGAAAACAAACCGCCAGGGCAGUAGGCAGUAGGCGGUAGGCAGUAGGCAGAGAAGAACGUCAGCCUUUCUUCUCUGCCUACUGCCUACGGCCUACUGCCUACUGUCACGGUAAGGGUGAAACGGUGCGGUAAGAGCGCACCGCGUUGGUGGUGACAUCAACGGCAUGGCAAACCCCACCGGCAGCAAGACCGAAUAAGCAGAGAGCCCCGGCCCGGGCGUUAUCAUCUGCGGGUAGGUUGCAGCGAUUCGGCGAGAGCCGCGUCGCGAGGCGUCUGGUAACAGCCGCCACAGAGAAAUGGUCGUCAUCGGUGCCCGUCCGCAAGGCCGGUUGCCGGUACAGAACUCGGCUUACAAGCCGGCCGCCGAC